rnacentral:rRNA from 1 species
GACGAACGCUGGCGGCGUGCUUAACACAUGCAAGUCGAACGAAGAGCGACGGAAGCUUGCUUCUAUCAAUCUUAGUGGCGAACGGGUGAGUAACGCGUAAUCAACCUGCCCUUCAGAGGGGGACAACAGUUGGAAACGACUGCUAAUACCGCAUACGAUCUAAUCUCGGCAUCGAGGAUGGAUGAAAGGUGGCCUCUACAUGUAAGCUAUCACUGAAGGAGGGGAUUGCGUCUGAUUAGCUAGUUGGAGGGGUAACGGCCCACCAAGGCGAUGAUCAGUAGCCGGUCUGAGAGGAUGAACGGCCACAUUGGGACUGAGACACGGCCCAGACUCCUACGGGAGGCAGCAGUGGGGAAUCUUCCGCAAUGGACGAAAGUCUGACGGAGCAACGCCGCGUGAGUGAUGACGGCCUUCGGGUUGUAAAGCUCUGUUAAUCGGGACGAAAGGCCUUCUUGCGAAUAGUGAGAAGGAUUGACGGUACCGGAAUAGAAAGCCACGGCGAACUACGU